GUUCUUCAUUUCAUAGCCCUUAUUUGGUUGUACCUGACUUGUGCCAAGGCAUGUGUUUAUUUAAGAUGCAUGUGAGGGCAUUAGUGCUUCAGUGAUAGUCUUUUCACGUUAUGUGUAAGCUUAUUUUGCAAUUUAUUCAUCUUAAUUUCCCUCUGUUCUCUGUUUGCAGGCAGUGAGUUGUGAGGACUGCUUCCCUGAGAACACUGAGUGCAUUCUGGAAUAUUCCAAAUGUGUGCCACUUCCAUACAAAAGAAGUUUCAAUCCCGCAAGAGAGUUCACUCACCAGUGGGCUCCAUCAACAGACCAGGGCAAAGUCGGUCUGUCCUGCUACUACUACAUGCUACUUGACUAUGUCUGGAAGCCAUGGCUGCUGCCCUCAACAUGCUAAACUGAAACCCUCACAAAUAAACUGAUAUCAAUAAUUAACAUUGAUGGUGAUGGUGGCAAGGGUGCCUUCAUAAGGUGCCAUCCAGCAAGUCCCAGCCUGUAGUCAGAGGCU